rnacentral:snoRNA from 1 species
AUUCCAUGGUUAUGGGUAUUUUCUCAUCAACUCAUUAAACCUAUUCCAUGCUUUGUGAUAGCUUUCUCCCUCUUUUUGUUGAAAAGUCUGAAUUUCUAAUCUGAUUUU